CGGAGGUGCUAUGCUGCAGUCGAGCGACGCAUGCCCAGUUCGUAAGAACAGGGUAUGACGGAGCGGCGAACGGGUGAGUAACACGUGAGCAACCUGCCCCACAGACCGGGAUAGCCCAAGGAAACUUGGAUUAAUACCGGAUUCCCUCGAACAAUCGCAUGGUUGAUCGAGGAAAGGCCUUUGUGCUGUGGGAUGGGCUCGCGGCUUAUCAGCUAGUUGGUGGGGUAAAGGCCUACCAAGGCAUCGACGAGUAGCUGGUCUGAGAGGACGAUCAGCCACACUGGAACUGAGACACGGUCCAGACUCCUACGGGAGGCAGCAGCAGGGAAUCUUGCGCAAUGGGCGAAAGCCUGACGCAGCAACGCCGCGUGGGGGAUGAAGGCCUUCGGGUUGUAAACCCCUUUCAGGAGGGAAGAAAUUGACGGUACCUCCAGAAGAAGGACCGGCCAACUACGUGCCAGCAGCCGCGGUAAUACGUAGGGUCCUAGCGUUAUCCGGAAUCAUUGAGCGUAAAGAGCUCGUAGGCGGUUCAGCAAGUCGGCUGUGAAAGUCCGAGGCUUAACCUCGGAAUUGCAGUCGAUACUGCUGUGACUCGAGUCCGGUAGAGGAGAAUGGGAUUCUCGGUGUAGCGGUGAAAUGCGCAGAUAUCGAGAGGAACACCAGUAGCGAAGGCGGUUCUCUGGGCCGGCACUGACGCUGAGGAGCGAAAGCGUGGGGAGCAAACAGGAUUAGAUACCCUGGUAGUCCACGCCGUAAACGUUGGAUACUAGGGUGUGGCGGUUGUACCAACGACUGCCGUGCCGAAGCUAACG
rnacentral:rRNA from 1 species